AGGGAUGGAGACCGCCCCAUAUUGCUCUACCUCAUUUUCCUGUCAGGAGGGAUUCAGUGCGCUGUGGGUGCGGUGCUGGCCCCGGGCGUGCGGUGCAGUGAUCAGCCGGUCAAAGAAUCGCAGGAUGGGUCAGGUUGGAAGGGGCAUCUGGUCAGUGGAGUCAUCUGGUCCCACCUCCCUGCUCCAGCAGGGUCAUCCCAGAGCACGUGGCACAGGAUCGCACCCAGACGGUUCUGGAAUAUCUCCAGUGACAGUUCUGGGAGACUCCACACCCUCUCUGGACAAUCUGUCCCAGUGCUUGGUCACUGCACAGCAUUGUCUUUGUGCUCGCUUCAUUGACUGCGCUGUAAUAACCAGUUUCUCAUUUUAUUUUGCACACAAAAAACACGUGCAGGUACAUGAGCCUACAGGAUGUUGAAGGUGACGUUCUCUGGAGCUCUCAGGUGACCUCAUUGAUAAAGCUGCCUAAUCAAAUUAAGUGCCCUGCGACUUCAGUGAGUUGCCGGUGGGCUGGGGAAGGACUCAUAAUGGAGCAGGAUCACAGCAGGAAGAACUCCCGCUGUGCCUUAUUCAAUUACUCACAGUCCGGGUGAAGGUCGCUACCCCCUGGGCAGAGGUGCCUGCUGGAAGCUGCCUCAUCGCCUUUCUGCUGAUGCUGGGAGCUCACAUGCCACUUGAGUAUCCCUUGAUACCUUGGUGUGAUAAAACACUGACUACAUCCUGCUCCUCCCAUCCUGCUCUCCUUCCCACCUCUGUGUACUCCUCACUUUUUGCCUGUGCCUCCCAAUAACCAAGUUGUUCAGUGAUACACUUUUUAAGACAAAUAUUAGCAGUGCUGUCUUGCUGACCUCACAGCUGGAACCAGUCCCUCUCAGGCUGGUGCUUUUCAGAGACGCUCACUUAAAAAUUAAAUUUUCAAGAUAGCGUAAAUCAUCCGCUGUCCUCGUAUGACAAAUGCUGCAACACUCCACGGCUAAAUUGCCCUUUUUUACUUAUCAGCUGCUGCAUCCAUCAUUUCCAAUAAAAAUAAAGCCAGCAGUUAUCUCUGGCAAGAGCAUGUUGUGUCACCAGUCGUGCUGAGAAAAGGAAGUGGUGUCUGCUCAGGUCAGCAGGAAUGGCUUGUUGCAGGGUAGGAGAACUUAAAUGCUCAGAAAGCUGCUUGAGAAACUGACUCAUCAGUUUUAAAUAUCUCACCUUUUAUUGCAGGUAAGGGUCCUGUUUUUUGUUAUUGGGGAUGUGCGUGUGUUCAAAUCUCUGUUGUACAAAGUCAAAUUCAGCUCUUGUCUUACAAAAUGGUGCUGCUCUAUGCUGCAGACUUCCGAGGAUGUUAGUGGGGAUGCCUAGAUCUAAAAUGGCUCCAGAUACAAAUGAAAACCGGAUGGAAACCCAGCAGUAAGAGGCCUCCUGCCUUCAUUCCUCAAGGCAUGGAGAGAGAAGUGUUGGUGGCUGAGGUGGUGGAUCUAGGAGUGGGGCAGCGUCCUCUUCUGCUCCAGCAUCCAUCUGUGUAAAGAGACACUGAAAGGUGAAACUCUGAUCCUCUCCUGCUUGUCUCUUGGCAUGUGCAGUCCACUUUGCUCACUCACUAAAAGCCUCAGGGGCUUUUUCUAUCUGCAGCAUCUGGUGUUCUUAAAUUGAUGAGGAAGGUGGCUGGUUCCUGGGGAGGUCAUCUUGGGAAAGAGUACUGAAGCAAAGGGAAAGUUUUACAAUAUAUGGGAGCCUGGACUACAAGGAGAUGGUAAAAGGCUUCACAGCAGUAUUUUGUGGAAGUUCAGCUGCCUGCUUGCCUCAGUGGGUGUUACUGUUCUUCAAUUUCCAGAAAAAAACAAUCCCUGUGUCUGCGCUCGGAAGGAGCUGGAAUGUGAAGUAACACAGGCAGAGGAGGGGAAUGAGAGCUGACAGUGAAAAGGGAGCCUGGCAGCCUGGGCUCUGCCUGUAAGCAGAGUUUCUCUUUACUCAAUAUUUCACUAUUUCAGUAGUUUAUUAUGGAUGAGGAACAUCUCCAAAAUGGUGCAGGAAGUUUUGUCAUGCCGGAAGCAGAGGGUGCGUGUGACCACAUGGCCACCCCUGUGCCAUGACCUGGAGUGUGUUCCCACAUCGAGCGGCACCAGUGUGGAAUGAUGCCCACCUGGGAAAUCCAUCCCUGAGGUGUUGACAAGGGUAAUUUUUGGGGUGUUUCUUUUCCAUCUAUGUGAUGUAGAGAAACAGUUGAACAAAUGAUUGUGGUGGGUGUAAUGCUGAAGAAAAAAACCGUUUUGUGGGAACCUACGAAAUCCCUGGAGUUACUGAGAAUUUCCUCUUCCCUUCCACUGGAAUGAACUUGAAGAAAUCACAUCAUUGGUGGUAUAUCCUGUGAUUUAUGUAGUGUAAUUUAUGUAGUGUAAUUGCUGGAGUGCUGCAUCAUGCCCUCAGCUUGCUGAAGAACACACAUAAACCUUCACUGAAUUUAGUUCAA